AUGCAGAGGAAGGAGCAGUCUCUUGAUCAAUCAUACAGGCAGUGGUUCGAUUCAGAGAAAAAAAGAGGCUACUCCAAUGGAUCGAGCUCCUCCGCGACAGGGGUCAACCGGAAGGGAAAGGGGAUGCUGCCCCUCAAGGCCAUUCCUUCUCCUCCGAGCUCCGCAGGAAGCAGUAGCUCCUCCACCCACUCCCUCGACUACACCGCCGCAUUGAGAGCUGGGGCCUUCGGAGGCUGGGAGUUGAGCUCCGCGGCGGGCGGCAGCAAGGCCCGGGUGACGUGGGGCGACCCCUUGGCGGCGGAGAUGAGGGAGGUGACCAACGCGGCGGCGCAUCCGUUCGACCCCAAGAUGGUGUCCAGGCAGCGGUGGCUGGUGAAAGAGCAGGCGGCCGUCGACAAGGAGAAGAGCCGACGAGAACAGCAGUUCAACUCAUUGCGCGCGGAAGAGGCAAUGCAUAGGAAGGAGCAGUGGUUCGAUUCACCGAAAAAUGGAGCUCGUUCCAAUGAGGUUCCAGUAAAGUGGUCUUAUAAUAAUGAUGAUGAAAUUCCGUACCCUUUAUACGCUGAAUUUUGUGGAGAUUAUUCCUCCUCGUCCCCAAGAAGAGAGUGGAGCGAUGUAAGAAUUGUCAGGAGACUCCGAGGGUUGCGUUGGCAAGAGAGGGUCGCUGCUCGUACUCACUUCAGAGAGCUACGUGAUAGUUGGGUAGCUGCUAGACGCAAGCCUAGUUCUUUAUUCAUGUCAGCAAUGGACCAAGUUAGGGACGGGAAGGCUAAGGAGUACAGCGGCGGUUGCGCAAUUCCCGGAUAUCUUACAUGUCCGUUGUCUGGGGAGCUCAUGAUAGAUCCCGUGACAAUUGCUACAGGGAAGACAUUCGAGCGACACUUCCUGAAGGGCUGGUUCGAGAAGAAGGGACACAUUUGUCCUCUGACCAAUGAGACCGUGUCAAGCACCAUCAUCCGGAAUGACCGCAUCCGAGGAUACUUAGAGGAGUGGAAUGAAGUGAUGGAAGAAGAGUAG
rnacentral:rRNA from 1 species